AUUGAAAGCUGGCGGCAGGACUAAACAAUGCAAGUAGAGAGAGCGGCGGAAGGGUGAGGAAUGUCUGGGAAAAUGCCUGAUGGAGGGGGAUAACUACUGGAAACGGUAGAUAAUACCGCAUACCAUCAGAAUGGCCCAGAUGGGAUUAGCUAGUAGGUGGGGUAACGGCUCACCUAGGCGAGGAUCCCUAGCUGGUCUGAGAGGAUGAACAGCCACACUGGAACUGAGACACGGUCCAGACUCCUACGGGAGGCAGCAGUGGGGAAUAUUGCACAAUGGGCGCAAGCCUGAUGCAGCCAUGCCGCGUGUGUGAAGAAGGCCUUCGGGUUGUAAAGCACUUUCAGCGGGGAGGCGUUACCCGCAGAAGAAGCACCGGCUAACUCCGUGCCAGCAGCCGCGGUAAUUC
rnacentral:rRNA from 1 species